rnacentral:lncRNA from 1 species
UUACAAUAGAAUUGUAAGGUCUUGAAGGUAUUCCAGGGAGCUAGUAUUUCCAGGUAGGAAGAGUAGCUAGUGGAUUAGAAGAAGGCUUCACUGACUCAUUUAAACUUAAUACCUACCCUGUGUGCAGAAAAGAGUUAAUAUAGCAGACCUGAGACUGCUAUCCUUGGAAAAGCCUGCUGAUAAGAUUGGCCGUUAGCUGGCAUCUGGGAACUUGGAUGAUAAACAGCUCCCUACACUGAUAGAAAACUUUCCCUAAAUUAUAAGGUGACUCACGGUGCAUUUGUGCACACAUAGUGAUUUUUGCUGAACAUCUGUUUCCCUUCCGGGCAUCCAGAAUUUUGGUAUGUGCUAGGCUUAUGUGACUAGCCCCUAACCUUGGGCACUGUCUCUGAUGAGCUUCUUUUGUACAACAUGUGUCACAUGUGUUGUCACAACUCAUUACUCUCCAGUAAUGUUAGUACAUCCUAUUUGACUCCACUGAUAGAGGACUCUUGGAAGCUUGUACUUGGUUUCCUCUGGACUUGGUCCAUGUACUUUUUCCUUUUGCUGAUUUUGCUUUAUAUCCAUUUGCUGUAGUAAACCAUAAUUGUGAGUGUGAUGAUUUCCAAGUCCUGUGAGCCCUUCUAGAAAGUCAGCGAACCAGGAGAUAAUCUUGGGAAUCUUCAGCACAGCCUGGGUAUUGGGUUACUUAAUUUUUUUCCAUAUUGUUUGGCAUUACAAUUUCAAUUUUUA